UACGUAGGGUGCGAGCGUUGUCCGGAAUUAUCGGGCGUAAAGAGCUCGUAGGCGGUUUGUCGCGUCGACUGUGAAAACCCGAGGCUUAACCUCGGGCCUGCAGUCGAUACGGGCAGACUAGAGUUCGGUAGGGGAGACUGGAAUUCCUGGUGUAGCGGUGAAAUGCGCAGAUAUCAGGAGGAACACCGGUGGCGAAGGCGGCUUCCUGGACCGACACUGACGCUGAGGCGCGAAAGCGUGGGGAGCAAACAGG
rnacentral:rRNA from 1 species